rnacentral:rRNA from 1 species
GACGAACGCUGGCGGCGUGCCUAAUACAUGCAAGUUGAACGCUUGAUUUUCACCGAAGCUUGCUUCACCGAAAAUCAAGAGUAGCGAACGGGUGAGUAACGCGUGGGUAACCUACCUAUCAGCGGGGGAUAACUAUUGGAAACGAUAGCUAAUACCGCAUAACAAUGUUGGAUGCAUAUUCGACAUUUGAAAGUACCAACUGGUACACUGAGAGAUGGACCCGCGUUGUAUUAGCUAGUUGGUAGUGUAAUGGACUACCAAGGCGAUGAUACAUAGCCGACCUGAGAGGGUGAUCGGCCACAUUGGGACUGAGACACGGCCCAAACUCCUACGGGAGGCAGCAGUAGGGAAUCUUCGGCAAUGGACGAAAGUCUGACCGAGCAACGCCGCGUGAGUGAAGAAGGUUUUCGGAUCGUAAAACUCUGUUGUUAGAGAAGAACGUUGCAUAGAGUGGAAAAUUAUGCAAGUGACGGUAUCUAACCAGAAAGGGACGGCUAACUACGUGCCAGCAGCCGCGGUAAUACGUAGGUCCCGAGCGUUGUCCGGAUUUAUUGGGCGUAAAGCGAGCGCAGGUGGUUUAAUAAGUCUGAUGUAAAAGGCAGUGGCUCAACCAUUGUGUGCAUUGGAAACUGUUAGACUUGAGUGCAGUAGAGGAGAGUGGAAUUCCAUGUGUAGCGGUGAAAUGCGUAGAUAUAUGGAGGAACACCGGUGGCGAAAGCGGCUCUCUGGACUGUCACUGACACUGAGGCUCGAAAGCGUGGGGAGCAAACA